CAGGUUUUGGAGUUAAUCGCUUGAAAAUUUAUUUUUAAGAGGAAAGUCUGGACUUUGCAGGGCAAGGGAGGCAGCUAACGGCUGCUGGGAGAAAUCUUAAGGAAAGUGCCACAGAAAAUAAACCGCCUGUUCUUUCAGGUAAGGGUGAAAAGGUAGUGUAAGAGACUACCAGUAAUUUAAGGAAUUAAAUUAGCUAGGUAAACCCCUCUCAAAGCAAGGGCAAGCAGAAAGCUGUUAAGAGGCGGCCCGUCUUGGCUUGAUUGGUAGCUCGCUAAAAUCCGUAAGUAAUUAUUGAUUUAGAUAAAUGAUUAAUGAAUACAGAAUCCGGCUUAUACCAAAGCCUAUGAA
rfam:Leptotrichia buccalis DSM 1135, complete genome.